rnacentral:rRNA from 1 species
CAGUCGCCGCGGUAAUACAGAGGGUGCAAGCGUUAAUCGGAAUUACUGGGCGUAAAGCGCGCGUAGGUGGUUUGUUAAGUUGGAUGUGAAAGCCCCGGGCUUAACCUGGGAACUGCAUCCAAAACUGGCAAGCUAGAGUACGGUAGAGGGUGGUGGAAUUUCCUGUGUAGCGGUGAAAUGCGUAGAUAUAGGAAGGAACACCAGUGGCGAAGGCGACCACCUGGACUGAUACUGACACUGAGGUGCGAAAGCGUGGGGAGCAAACAGGAUUAGAUACCCGUGUAGUCCAUGUCUCUUAUAC